AAUAGAUACCCUGGUAGUCCACGCCGUAAACGAUGUCGACUUGGAGGUUGUUCCCUUGAGGAGUGGCUUCCGGAGCUAACGCGUUAAGUCGACCGCCUGGGGAGUACGGCCGCAAGGUUAAAACUCAAAUGAAUUGACGGGGGCCCGCACAAGCGGUGGAGCAUGUGGUUUAAUUCGAUGCAACGCGAAGAACCUUACCUACUCUUGACAUCCACGGAACUUUUCAGAGAUGAAUUGGUGCCUUCGGGAACCGUGAGACAGGUGCUGCAUGGCUGUCGUCAGCUCGUGUUGUGAAAUGUUGGGUUAAGUCCCGCAACGAGCGCAACCCUUAUCCUUUGUUGCCAGCGGUCCGGCCGGGAACUCAAAGGAGACUGCCAGUGAUAAACUGGAGGAAGGUGGGGAUGACGUCAAGUCGUCAUGGCCCUUACGAGUAGGGCUACACACGUGCUACAAUGGCGCAUACAAAGAGAAGCGACCUCGCGAGAGCAAGCGGACCUCAUAAAGUGCGUCGUAGUCCGGAUUGGAGUCUGCAACUCGACU
rnacentral:rRNA from 1 species